CCCGCGGGGCUCCGGGCGGCCGUGACCCUGCUGGAGUCCGGGGGGGACCUCCAGCCCCCCGGGGGGUCCCUGCGCCUCCUCUGCCGCACCUCGGGGUUCACUUUCGGGAGUCACGACAUGUUCUGGAUCCGCCAGAGACCCGGGCAGGGGCUGGAGUUCGUUGCCCACAUCAGCAACACCGGCGGCACGACCAUCUACGCUGAUCCGGUGCGGGGCCGGUUCGGGAUCUCCCGGGACAACGGGCAGAGCUCGGUGACGCUGACCAUGAACGGCCUCAAGGACGAGGAUUCCGGCUCCUAUUUCUGUGCCAGGCGUUUCAAUUUUUGGGGCGCUGCCGCUGUUUUUGGUGA